rnacentral:sRNA from 1 species
CUUGGAGCCAAACAGUCCUAAGGCUCCCGGAAGCUCUCAGAUAAGCCAUGUCACCUCUCUGACCUCUGUGUCCCCAUGGGGAAAGUGGGGCUAACAGGAAAAUGCCCUUUGCUGCAUAUCCAGGGGAUUAAGGAAAUGGGAUCCCUCCAAGCAGAUGCAGGAAAAGGCAAAGGAGAUCUACAUGACCUUUCUGUCCAGCAAGGCCUCAUCACAGGUCAACGUGGAGGGGCAGUCUCGGCUCAACGAGAAGAUCCUGGAAGAACCGCACCCUCUGAUGUUCCAGA